GACGAACGCUGGCGGCGUGCUUAACACAUGCAAGUCGAACGGAAAGGCCCUGCUUGCAGGGUACUCGAGUGGCGAACGGGUGAGUAACACGUGGGUGAUCUGCCCUGCACUUCGGGAUAAGCCUGGGAAACUGGGUCUAAUACCGGAUAGGAGCCAUUUUUAGUGUGAUGGUUGGAAAGUUUUUUCGGUGUAGGAUGAGCUCGCGGCCUAUCAGCUUGUUGGUGGGGUAAUGGCCUACCAAGGCGGCGACGGGUAGCCGGCCUGAGAGGGUGGACGGCCACAUUGGGACUGAGAUACGGCCCAGACUCCUACGGGAGGCAGCAGUGGGGAAUAUUGCACAAUGGGCGGAAGCCUGAUGCAGCAACGCCGCGUGCGGGAUGACGGCCUUCGGGUUGUAAACCGCUUUCGCCUGUGACGAAGCGUGAGUGACGGUAAUGGGUAAAGAAGCACCGGCUAACUACGUG
rnacentral:rRNA from 1 species